rnacentral:rRNA from 1 species
UACGGGGGGAGCAAGCGUUGUUCGGAUUUACUGGGCGUAAAGGGCGCGUAGGCGGCCACCGCAAGUCGGUUGUGAAAUCUCUGGGCUUAACCCAGAAAGGUCAACCGAUACUGCGGGGCUAGAGUGCAGAAGGGGCAACUGGAAUUCUCGGUGUAGCGGUGAAAAUGCGUAGAUAUCGAGAGGAACACCUGCGGCGAAGGCGGGUUGCUGGGCUGACACUGACGCUGAAGCGCGAAAGCUAGGGGGAGCGAACGGG